rnacentral:rRNA from 1 species
AACGAACGCUGGCGGCAUGCCUAACACAUGCAAGUCGAACGAGACCUUCGUAACUGGUGGCGCACGGGUGCGUCGCGCGUCGGAACCUGCCCUUAGAUUCGGAAUAACACCCCGUAGGGGGUGCUAAUACCGGAUAAUUUCUUCGAACAAAAGAUUUAUCGCGCUUGGAUGGGCAGGCGUUGGAUUAGCUGGUUGGUAGGGUAAAAGCCUACGAAGGCGAGGAUCCAUAGCUGGUCUGAGAGGAAGAUCCGCCACACUGGGACUGAGACGCGGCCCAGACUCCUACGGGAUGCAGGAGUGGGUAAUACUGGACUAUGGGGGGAAGGCUGAAGCAGCAAUGCCGCGUGAGUGAUGAAGUCGGUAGAGUUGUAAAGCUCGUUUACCCGGGAUUAUAAUGACAGUACCGGGAGAAUAAGCUCCGGCUAACUUCGUG